GUGAUUAGAGAAAAAAAAUAUGCUAUAAUUAUUGAAGGACUUGAAAAUGGAGAAAUUUCUAGUAGACGAGGCUUGAAUUAAGAAACUUCUCUUAGAAGUUCUUGAUGUGCUUGAGAUUAUAAGGGAGGAUGGGAUGAACUCAGAACAAAGAACAGAAGCAGUCGUUUUAACAGAUAUUAUGGAAUCAUUUAA